rnacentral:rRNA from 1 species
CGCAGCCGCGGUAAUUCCAGCUCCAAUAGCGUAUAUUAAAGUUGUUGCAGUUAAAGAGCUCGUAGUUGAAUUUCGAGAUCAGUACGCUGGUUGUGCCUUCGGUAUGCACUGGUGUCACUGGUUUCUCCCUUCUGAAGAACCGUCAUGCCAUUCAGUUGGUGUGGGCGGGGAAUCAGGACUGUUACUUUAGAAAAAUUAGAGUUAGUUUAAAGCAGGCUCGCGCUUGAAUACAUUAGCAUGGAAUAAUGAAAUAGGACGUUUGACCCUAUUUUGUUGGUUUCUAGGAUCGACGUAAUGAUUAAUAGGGAUAGUUGGGGGCAUUAGUAUUCAAUUGUCAGAGGUGAAAUUCUUGGAUUUAUUGAAGACUAACUACUUGCGAAAGCUAUUUGCCAAGGAUGUUUUCUAUUAAUCAAGAACGAAAGUUAGGGGAUCGAAGACGAUCAGAUACCGUCGUAGUCUAACCAUAAACUAUGCCGACUAGGGAUCGGAUGAUUAGUUUAAGUUUUUAAUGUACUCUA